GAUACAAAUACAAUCAGGAUUCCUGGAAGAGCGCCUUUCGAGGUGCCAGGCCGUGCUGCGGAAGCAAUAUUACCCAGGAGGCUCUGCGGCAAGAGGCGGUAGCUCCGGGCCAAUGACUGUGCAGGACUGGGAUCCCGCGUCGGGCGAGACUUACGGCGGCAUUCUCGUGGCGGUUGUAUUGGCUGCACCUGCGUCUGUCCUCGGGCUCGCACGCAGCUCCCGAGCCAUAAGCGGGCUCGAGGGCCGGGACCAGUAAGUCUCAGGAAGAGGCUUCCUCCCCUCCCUUCACGGAGGCAGGGCUGAGGGUGGGCGAGGCAGCGGAGGGGCGUCAGCUGAACCGUUGGGACCCUCCCUGGUCUCCUGCGUUGCAAGGCCCAGGUCCCUGGAAAGGGUCUCAUGGCCGCGGCAGAGGCACAGACAGACCCGGCACUGGCACCAGUGACCUUCAAGGAUGUGGUUGUGACCUUCACCCCGGAGGAGUGGGAAUUACUGGAUCCGGCUCAGAGGACCCUGUACCAGAAGGUGAUGCUGGUGACCUACAGGCUCCUGGUCUCACUGGGGCAUCCUGUUCCCAAACCAGAACUGACCUACCUGUUGAAUCCUGGGCAAAAGCUAUGGAUGGUGAAGAGAGGCUUUUCCCAAAGCUCUUCCUCAGGUGACAAAGCAAAAACCAAGACCACAGAGACUACUGCUUCUCAGCCAGCCUUGUUUGAUGGAUGCUUAGUCCAAACAUCACUGACUCAGGAAGGCUUCAGUGUUUCUACUUUGGGGCAAGCCAGGAAACCAGAAGGAGUAUCAGAAAAGCAGGGAGGGCACAUGAGGACAGGAACAGUCCUUCACAAGAAAACCCUCCCUGGAAAGGUGAACCCUGACUGUGGUGAUUUGGAAAUACGUGACAGUCUGUGUUCAAAAGAUUUACAGGAUAGAGUGUCUACAGCAAAUGCUUCUCAUGAGUGUGAGUCACGUGGAUCAAGGGAAGACCCGUUGUUUCAUGGAGGGAAGAAUGCCUACAGAUGCAAAGCAUGUGGGAAAGGGUUUGUCAAGAAUCACUUCCUUGUUCGACAUCAGCGAAUUCACACUAGAGUACAACCCUAUAAAUGCAAAAAAUGUGGGAAGCCCUUUCUCAAGAAAGCAGACCUCACUGGACACUACAGCAUUCACAUUGGGGAGAAACGCUAUGGGUGCGUCGAGUGUGGGAAAGCCUUCAGCCACAGGUCACACCUCACAGAGCACCAGCGGAUUCACAGUGGAGAGAAACCCUUUGUAUGCAUCGAGUGUGCGAAAGCCUUCAGCCGCAGGUCACACCUCACAGAGCACCAGCGAAUUCACAGUGGAGAGAAGCCCUUUGUGUGCCUCGAGUGUGGGAAAGCCUUCAGCCGCAAGUCACACCUCACGGAGCACCAGCGGAUUCACAGUGGAGAGAAGCCCUAUGUGUGCGGUGAAUGCGGAAGGGCCUUCGCCCACCAGUCUGAUUUCAUUUGGCAUAAGAGAACCCACGCUGGAGAGAAACCCUCUGAGUGCAAAGAAUGUGGGAAAGCGUUUAGUGACAGCUCUUCUGUAACUCGACACAUGAGGUGUCACUCUAGGGAGAAGCCUUAUGAGUGCAGUGAGUGUGGAAAGAUCUACAGCUACAGCUCAACCCUCACCACCCAUCAAAAGAUUCAUAGUGGGGUGAAAUCCUACGAGUGUAAGAGAUGUGGAAAAGCCUUUUACCAGAAGGCAGAGCUCAGACAACAUCAGAGAUCUCAUACUGGGGACAGACUUUUCUGAAGUAACUAUUGUGGCAAAUAGUUUGGCCAGAGGAAAAAUGUUCCUUGGCAUAUGAGAGUUCAUACCCAAGAGAAGCCCUGGCCUCCCUCACAUGCUCAGUUCUUGCUUGACUGUGGUGUUACCUUUAGCUAGAGCUAAGCCCUUGCACUGCAGAAGUGGAGGCCAGUCUCUCCAAAAACAUGACUUGGUUCUCAGCAGAGGGACCUUCUUUCCACACCUGAAAGCUCUUUGCUAUGACGUGGCCCAUACAGAGACCUGGGACUAUUUGUCCCAGAGCAGGAGUGGUAUGCAUUUCAGUGGAUGAAGGACCCCCUUCCCUAAUGGCCUGUGUCUCCCUAUCUAAUUUUCUGUGUACAGAGGGGCCUGCUGUGUUCUUGCUAGUAUGAUGGGCAGGAGUUAUGAGAACCCCAUCCUUUAUCCCCAUUACCUCACACAGUGUCCUGGGUCCUGGGUCAUGGAGACACAUCGGUGAUUGAGACAUGGGUCUUGCUGUUUAGAAUGGGAAAUACACGAUUACACACAGGUGAGGUAUAUCAACUCUGUUGCCGUGACAGUAACAUGCUUAUGAUCCCCAUCCAGCAUAAUGAAGAACAAGGUCAAAACUUAGGUAUGGAGGGGCUCCCCUGGUGGCUCAGUGGUUAAGAAUCCGCCUGCCAAUGCAGGGGACAUGGGUUUGAGCCCUGGUCCAGGAAGAUCCCACAUGCCGUGGAGCAACUAAGCCCAUGUGCCACAGCUACUGAGCCUUCACUCUCGAGCCCAUGAGCCACAAUUACUGAGCCCGCAUGCCACAACUACUGAAGCCCGCACCUACAGCCUGUGCUCUGCAACAAGAGAAGCCACCGCAAUGAGAAGCCGGCGUACCUCAAUGAAGAGUAGCCCCUGCUUGCCACAACUAGGGAAAGCCCACGUGCAGCAACGAAGACUCAACACAGCCAAAAAUAAAUAAAUUAAUUAAAUAAAUUUAAGACUUAGGCAUGGAGGACAGAUGUGAUCAGGAAGAGUGGUCUAGUGGCUGGCUACAAGCUUGGACUCUGGGGACAAUUGGGAUUCCAAUGCUCCUGAGCUGUGCCCAUCACCAGCUGGAUGACCUUGGUCAUGUUGCUUCCUCACAAGCCUCUCUUCGUGUCUGUAAAAAUGGAAAGAUGUAUGUUAAACUGUAAAGCAUGGGAAGAGGAACAGAUGGUAUACAAAGAUGAUAUCGUGCAGACCCAUGAGGGAUGGAAGAGCCCCAGCCAUGUUUGAAGAUGGAGAAGAGCACUCCUUGCAAAGGGAACAACAUGUACCAAGAUCCUGAGGCAGGCAAGAGCCGGAAUUGUUGGGGGAAAUAGCUGAAGACCAGUGUGUCCAAGGGAGACAAGUGGGCAGUGAGAUGGAGGGUGCAGGGCCCAACACACAUCAUGAGAAAUGUGGAUUUUAUUGCAACUGCUCUGGGAGGCUCAGGAAGGGAUUCAGCAGGACAGUGGAAUGAUGUUAUUUGUCUCUAAAUCUCCCUUUGGCUGCUCUGUGGGGAAUGAGGAGAAUCAAAAACUGAUGUAGGAGAGAAGAAAGAGGCCACUGUAGUCCAGGAGUAUGUUGACAGUGGACUGGCCCAGGAUGGUGGCAUUGGAGAUGAUGGGAUGAGGAUGACCUGGGACACGUUAAGAAGCAGAGCUGACAUUACAUGUGCAUCAUUUGGAUGCUGGGGUGAGCCCCAGGGAAUGACUUUUCCCCCUCAGUCCUCAAGAGAGAGCCUUCUGCAUUCAUGGGAAACGUGAGUCAUGGCUUGGCCUUGUGUUCCAUUUUCUUGAGCAGCACCUAGCAAGUGUGUUGAGUGAGCAAGUGAAGCUGAAGGUCCCUUUCUGGGACACAGAAAAGGCAGGAUGAUUCCUUGUCCCCAUGAUGGUAGUAUGGGCAGUUGAAUUUUCCAUGACCUUAUUUCUCUGACCAAGGAGGGGCCCUGGCCCUGCCCAGAUUAGAUGACUUUAGGCAGGAGGGUGUGUAGAGCAGUGAUGAGACUUGAAUCACUUCAGGCACUAUUCUCAACUGUGCUACUUACUGGUGGCCAUUACUCAGGGCAACUCAGGGACCUUUUGGGUUCUUGGUUUCCUCCCCUGUAUACUGGGAGAUCGAAUAACCAUUUGAACUCUCAUUUUCAUUAUUUACGAAACAAGUGUGUUGGCCAUCCCACUUUACCAGGUUGUGCAGGUUAAAGGAUAGUGUUGUAAAGUGCCUGUCACAGUGUUGGGUAUGUGUAUAUGCUUAAACGUCAGCUAUUGUAACUCAUAUGUUACUCCUUUGGGUUAUCCUAUUCCUUCCUCACCAGAAGAUGUGCUGAUGGGAUUUCUAGUACAAAUAUACUGCAGUUCCUGAUGGCAUCUCAGCAGAUUUUAGUUCUUAAGAAGCUUGAUAAUGGGCUCUAGUGACAUUCUGCAUAAGGUCUUGGUUCCCCGUCAGGCAAAGCCAAGAGUUUUCCCUGCCCCUCGUUUUUUUUUCACGGGUGGAGAUGGUGUGGCUGAGGAUGCCAUGGAAUAUUAGUUGUGCUUUGAAUGGACAUUUAAACCUCCCCUUGAAAAUCCCUUGUGAAGGGAAUUUUGAGCCAUCAAAAAGUACUUACUGCUAAUUUAAUUUAUUCCAUAUUUAUUUAAUGUAAUAGUUGAUAUACGUAAUUUGGGUUUAAAUAUGUCCUCUUAUUUUUCGGAUUUCUUUGUGUCACUUGUUCUUUCUGUGCCUACCCCCCUCCACACCAAAAAAAAACUUUCUAUUACUUACAGAUUUUCUUUAUUCUAGUUUGGAAAGCAUAUACUCUAAUUCUGUUUGUUAUUGUCUAAGCUGAGAUUUACAAGCACUUAUUUAAAGAGUACAGAGUUAUACAUACUUUUUCCUCUUCCCAGGCUAUAUAAGGGACUUGGAACAUUAACCAAUACGUCCUGUCUCAGUAUAUGUGUUGAGACUUUGUGUUAAUUCCAUUAUUGUAACUCCAAAAGGAAGUGUUAUUACUGUUUAAUACAAAUCCUGAGCAGUUGUAUCCAUCCACAUAUGCAUUCCCCUCUUGGAUCCUCUAUUGCAGAUCUUUCAUCUGGGAUCAGUUUCCAAAUUCUUAAAUAUAAACUUUAGGAUUUCAUUUUAUGAUUGCUAAUCUUCCAUUAAAUUUCCCAUUUGGGGCUCAAAAUAGUCAUACUCUUUCUUGAAAGACAGCUUUGCUGUGUAUGGAAAUCUAGAUUGGCAGGUUUUUUUCUUCAUCAGGUCCUCGAAUAGUUACUUCCACUGUAUUCCAGAACCAUAAUUAUAUUGGGAGUGAGUGGCAACUUACUUUGUUUAUAGCCUUCUGGUCUUAGUUUAGAUUAUUAACAGAAAUACUAACAUUAACAUGGAGGAAUGGGGUUUGGGGUUAUCACCCCCAAAGUAAUAAAUAGUGCUGAAUGUGUAAGAAUAAUAAUAAAAUGGAUUAUCUGGUGACUAAAUUGAUGGAUUGUGUUAGAAACUGGGUAGAUGCUCUCCUAUCGAAUUUUCUCUUUAUGGACGCCCUGCUUCCCUUGUAUGGGCCAUGUAAAUGAGCUUGGGGCAAUGGAAUAUGGGCAGAAGUGAUCAUGAAAUUAUGUCUUCUAAUUUUUGCUCCUCCAGUGGGAUAUCCCCUUGGGUAUUAGUGGUUUCAGUUCUCACACUUGCUCAGGAUUUAGUGCCCUCUUGGGAACUGCAGUUUCAGGCUACCUAUGGACUGAUGGUGGGGUGGGACCCUUGUACUGGCAAUAUUAGCAAAUUCCCUGAUGAUACUGAUGCUACUGCUGGUUUGGGAACAACUGAAUUAGAGCGGGCUCUAGAGCGCAGGCUCAGUAGUUGUGGUGCACCUGGUUAGUUGCUCCGAGGCAUGUGGGAUCUUCCCAGACCAGGGAUUGAAUCCCUAUCCCCUGCAGGUGGAUUCUUAGCCACUGUGCCACCAGGGAAGUCCCUCGUUUUGUUUUUUAAUUAUAUAUUUUUCCUGAGGUUCUGACAGGUUGAGGUUUGCCUAAGGCUGCACAGGCAGAGGUCUCCAGUAAGAUACCUUUCAGGAUGGGGCUUCGCCCAACGUGGCCACAAAACCCUGGCAUGGUCCCUGUCUUUGGAACCGCAGAGCAUUAUUUCUCAGGGUCCCUCGCAGGGCUGUUUGGCCUUUGCCAUGGAGAAUGGGAAGGGCCUAUCCUUACCUGGCGGGAGGUAGGACAGAAACUACAUUACCCGGAAGGCUGUGCUUGUGCGUGCACGAAGGGCGCUCAUCCAAUGACUACCCAGGAAAGAAGCAUUGCCUCCUGGGGAGGUGGAGGCGGGACUUCCGAUGAUGUCACAGAGGCUCUUGUGGGGUCAGCGUGCCUCGUCGGUGGAGACCCUAUCCUGCUUCCCAGGCGGCUCUUAGGGAUCAAGUAAGGAAGGAGGGGAGAAGAGACUAGGACCUACCUCUGCGCCUUUGUACGAGCCGUGACCCCCGCCUGGCGGCGUGCUUUUCCGGCUCUGCACCAAUCCGCUUUCCUCCAGGUCCCUGGAGUCGGUGUCCUUGGCCUUGUGUGCCUUUUACACAUGGGAAACUGAGGAUUGGAGUGCGGGGUCAGCCAAGGUCACUCCCCGACCAGGGCCGGACGACUGGGGAGUCCACUAAGCUUGAAGGACCCGCCUGGGUCCCUGCCCAGUUCACAGGGUGGACUGGCGACAGGUAGCCGGGUCGGACACAGCUUGUGGGAUCUUAGUUCCCUGACCAGAGACUGAACCUGGGCCACAGCAGUGAGAGCACUGAGUCCUCACCAUUGGAUCACCAGGAAAUUCCCUUCAAGUACUUUACUUUCUAAUGCAAGAAUAUUUCCUAUGCUCGUGUUAUACUUUUCCAGCUCCAACCUGGAAAUAGCCUCUUAUCUAAGGAGUUCUGAUUCUUUUUAUUGAAAUAUCGUAUUCAUAAGCCAAUAACUGGACAAUAAAUAUGCUCACAGCUGCUGGAAUGCCACUUCUUUCUAGGCUGUCUCAGAAGAGAUAGGGAAUGUGUUCAUAUGUAAACAUUUCUACAUACAUUGAGUUUUUUAUGUGUAUUUAAUUUUACAGAGAUUUCACAAGAUUGGAUAUUUAUUUAUUUUUAAAAUUUAUUUAUUUUUGGCUGCGUUGGGUCUUUGUUGCUGUGCAUGGGCUUUCUCUAGUUGUGGCGAGCAGGGGCUACUCUUCAUUGUGUAUUGCGGUGGCUUCUCUUGUUGUGGAGCAUGGGCUCUAGGCAUGCAGGCUUCAGUAAUUGUGGCUUGCGGGCUCUAGAGCAUGGGCUCUAGAUCGCAGGCUCAAUAGUUGUGGCGCACGGGCUUAGUUGCUCCGUGGCAUGUGGGAUCUGCCCGGACCAGGGCUCAAAUCUGUGUCCCCUGCAUCAGCGGGUGGAUUCUUAACCACUGUGCUGCCAGGAAAGUCCCAAGACUGGAUAUUUAAAAGGGUCUUAAGACUCCAAUAGUAUACUCAGAUAAGGCUCUUUUUACAGGCAAAGAUAAGAGAAAGAGUACAAUACCAAAAGUACAAUCAAUAAAAAACAAAUGGGUAAAUUGGAUUUCAUGAAAAUUAAGAAAUUCUACUCUAGGAAAGAUAACGUUAAGAAAUGAAAGCCAAAGCCACAGACUGUGAGGAAAUAUUGGUAAAGCAUAUAUCAAAUGAGUAACUUGCACCCAGAAUAUAUUAAGAAAUUGCAAGACAAUUCCUUAAUAGCAGGCAAAAAACUUUGAACAGAUAAUUCACUAAAGAUAUAUGGAUGGCAAAUACACAGGGAGUCAUUAGGGAAAUGCAAAUUAAAACCACAGUGAAAUACUACUACAUACCUACUAGAAUGGCUAAAAUGAAUGGCCAGUGUCUUACAUACAAAGGUCAGGAAGGAUGUGAAGAAACUGGAAAACGAAUACACUCCAGGAAAUGUGAGAUGGCAUAACCAUUCAGAACACAAGGUGGCAAGUUCUUAAAAAGUUAAAUAUUUGGAUCAACUUCCAGCAUGACAGUGUGAGGAGCUCUGCAAGCCCUGCUUCCCAAUGAAACUGGUGAAAAAUUAUAAAAACACCAUCUAAAGCCUCUAGAAAUGAUCCUAAGGCUACACAGCAAAUGAAGAAACAUUUAAGGAAAUCUAAUACUCAGGAUGAACAGCAAGAGCCAGUCACAUCUGAACCAAGGCCACACCCUCUCUCCCUGCUUCGAACUCAGAGAUGAAAACUCCAGACUGAGGCAGCCAAGAACACAGGGCUCCCUCUCACUAGAGCUGCCAGGCAGAGGACUAGCCUCUCAAGAGGGGCAGGAUGUCAGCAAUUCUCAUCCUGCUCCAGUGUGCAUGUUUGGAUGAAUGAUAUUCAAUUGUUGGCUCACUCAAAGGCUGCUCUCAGAGCUUCUAUGUUUAAGUUAGGUUGACCAGGAGACAGCACAUGCCCUGCACUCUUAAGGCCUUUCUCCGAUCUGAACUUUCUCGUGCCAAACAGGGUUAAGACUUUGUCUGCAACCUUUCUUCAUGUCCCCGUAUUCAUAAGGCCUGUUUGAGCUGUGAAGUUUCUGUUGCUGAAUCAGAGUAGACCUUUGGUUAAAGACUUUUCCACAUUAGCUGCAUUCAAGACUUUUCUCCACUGUGAACUUUAUGGUGUUGAAUGAGGUUGAAACGCUGGCUAAACGAUUUCCCACAACUGCUGCAUUCAUAGGGCAUUUCUCCAGUGUGAAUCCUCCGAUGCUUAACAAGGCUGGAGCUGUGGCGGAACAAUUUCCCACAUUCCCUGCACUCAUAAGGCCUUGCUCCAGUGUGAACCCUCUGGUGUUUAACGAGGCUAGAAUUCUCACUAAAGAAUCUUCCACAUUCAUUGCACUUAAAAGGCUUUUCUCCAGUGUGAACUUUUCGGUGUUGCAUGAGGCUAGAGCUUUGGCUAAAGAAUUUCCCACAUUCACUGCACUCGUAAGGCCUUUCUCCAGUGUGAACUCGCCAGUGAUUAAUAAGGCUUGACUUGUGGCUAUAGAAUUUCCCACACUCACUGCACUUAUAAGGCCUUUCUCCAGUGUGAACUCUCUGAUGUUUCAUGAGGCUUGAGUUAAAGCUAAAGAAUUUCCCACAUUCACUGCACUCAUAAGGCCUCACUCCAGUGUGGAUUCUGUGAUGCUGAACAAGUGUGGAAUUAUGCCUGAAGGCUUUUCCACAUUCACUGCAUUUAAAAGGCUUUUCUCCAGUGUGAACUCUCCGGUGUUGAAUGAGGUCAGCAUUGCGACUAAAAGAUUUUCCACAUUCACUACACCCGUAAGGCCUUUCACCAGUAUGAACUAUUUGGUGUAUAAAAAGGUUGGAUUUAUGGCUAAAUAAUUUGCCACAUUCGCUGCAUUCAUAAGGCUUUUCUCCAGUGUGUAGUCUCUGGUGCUGAACGAGUAAGUAUUUCUGACCAAAGGCUUUCCCACACUCGCUGCAUCUGUAAUGCCUUUUUCCAGGGUGAAAGCCCUCCCCACUUUCGGUGCUCCUAUGUGGCUCCCCUCUGCUGUGAGCCACCUGAUGCUUGGGAAGACCAGAGCUAGCUGGGGAGACCUUCCCACCCUCCUCACCCUCUUCUCUUCUUGAGGGUUUCUCUCCGGAGCUCAGCUUCUGGUGUUGGUGAAGGUUUGCUCUGAGCACUCCCUCUACAUAAACACCCGGCUCAGGUGCCACGUCCUCAGCCUCCGCUCCACACCAACAACCUGAAAGCAGAGAAAUGCUGAUGAAGAGUAUGUAGACUUUGGCGGGAUGGGGCAGCACCCUCACAAACGUGUCUGACAGCCAGUAUGGAGUCCCUGGGAUUACUGGCAGGGUGAGGGAGAGCUCGCUGUGCAGUGCAGGACCUGACAACCUCACAAAUCAGGGGGACUCAUGAGUAGCAAGGAUACAGGAUGGGGUGCAGCCCAGGGAGGAAAGGCAGGGUCUCCAACACACUCCUCUGCAAAUGGCUUUCAGCAGGGCUUCAGCUGCUGGUGACACAGGAACACAGUGCAGAAGGGUGUGUCCAGGCCCAGAAAAGUUGAAGGCAACUGAGUAGCUGGUGUUCAAGGACUAUUAAGGAUAUGUGUACACCUCAUGACACAUGGAGUGAGAGCUUGUAUUGUGACCUGGAAAACUUCCCAUUCUGUUGCCUCAACAGCCCCACAAACAAGCUGUAAACUAUGCCACCAUGUGCACCAGUGUGAGAAGGUGGGCCCCUGCCACAAGUUCUCUUACCUACCCUCCUGACUGAGACCCAGGGCCAUUUAAACUCACCAGUGAAAUCCCCUCGCACCUCCCUCAUGUUCCUCUCCUCAGUCCUAACCAGUGAUGCUGCAUCCCCUUCAGAGAAGUCCACCAUGGCACUCUGUGAAGGUCGAUGGUGCUGGCAACCACUUCUUCACUGCUGUCACUCUUUGUCUCCUGAUCCCAUGGGUAUUAGGGGCCCCAUUCCUGGAGAUCAGUGGCUCAAGAUCUUACGGGCCAGGAUCUUAGCAGGAACAUUUAAUUCCAGCAACUCCCAAUAACCAGAGAAGGUGAGCCAAUUAUUCAAGAAAAGUAAAACAUCUUUGCAACAUUGCUGGGCUCUACUUAGUGCCACUGCCUAUCAACAUGCCAACUACUGCUCAGCUCCCAAGGUCUAGGAACGAUCGGAAAAGGAGAUCUGGCCACCAGAGCUGUCCUGAAUGGAUCCCGACCCAGCUGAAGUCACCUUAGAAAGGGAAGCUGCUGCCUAUGAGAGGGGCCACAGAAAGGAAGCAUCCAAGGUCUUCUCAGACCCAGCGGCUCAAGAACACAGGAGAUCACAAGGAAUUAUAAGGUGAAACUUGCAAUUUCACAAGACUAGAAAUACCAAUGAUUCUUAAAGAUUUCAUUCAAAGAGGUGGGGAAAGGGAGCUGAUUGGUUACUGAGAGCAUUUAACAUGGGUGCACAUUCAGCCCCAGAAAUGAGGCAGCUGCCAGCAUUUGGAAAGAGGCUAAGAUGCAUAACUAAAGAUUCUUUGGCCCUCCAAGUUCAAUUCUCACCUGAUAUUUUGGGGCUGAAGGACCUCAGGAAGGACAGAGGGUAUCCCAAACGUCAGGGUAGGUGUGACAGAGACCAAAACUUUUGAUGGGAUUAUAAAGGCCUCAGAUGAGGAAUCUGAAGCCUCUACCACCACUUGGGACUCAGAAACCCUGCCGUUAACUGAAUUGGAUUUUCAUGGCCUGGAGAUGCCCAAUGGGAAACGGUCAAGGAAGCCCAUGUGCUCCUCUGCAAAAACUGGAAUGGUUCAAUGGAUCUAUCAUUUUGGGCAUUCAGACAAGGAGAACCCUGAGCAUGUUUCUAAAUCAGGAGGCCCUCUUUGUCACAGAGUCCAGGAGUUGUUCUUGCAGGCUCGCAUCCCGAUACAGAGCUUUGUUGCUUAACCUUAUUGGUAUAUCUCACACCAAAUGGGAGGCCACGGAUGGAACUAUCUCCAGAUGUGCCAUGAGAGCUCCGCGCACCCUGACUCACAAAUUCUGACGUAUCACAUCCGCCGCCUGGUGUGCGGUAGGUGUGUGGGUAACCACCCCCACACCUAGCAUUCUUUCCCGACUUGCUGACGCCCCCUACUGCCUCCAGGGUGAUACUGGUAGAACUAGUCAUGGCAAACAAACUGCACCAGGUGUCAACAAUCUUUAUCAAACAGCUGCCCAUGAUGGUGACCCCUGAUGCUUUUGAGUUUUCCUAUGAGAGACAGAUGUGUGUGGCAUCUGAACAAGCUCAAGUCCCUCUCACAAAGUGAGAACCUGUGGAGUUGCCCCUGCUGGUGAAGGUAGUAAACAUGCCAUAGUAUCACCUGAAACAAGGUACUGGCCUUUGGCUGGUUGUUCAAGAUCUACUAAAAGAAGGGGAGAUUAUUCCUGCUAUUUCUCCUUAACAGGAGCGGCACUUAACUGUUGAUUAUCGAAACCUUAAAGCUCAAGUUCCCCCCAUCAGGGGUCCAACACCUAACAAUCCAGUUAACUGAAGACAUCAAGAGGGCACCAGUGACUACUUGGCCAUGGUGGAUCUGGCCCAGUACAUUUUAUUCUGGGCCUAUGACCCCUUAGUCACAGCCCCAGUUCACCUUUACCUUUAAAGGAACCCAACAUACAUUUACCAAGUUGUCCGUGAGUUAUUUAAACAGCCCAGCCCACAAUUACUGCCAGGACCCGGACCGGGUCCCCUCCCCACUCCAGUUCUUUAUCCACCAGGUACCUCCCUUUUUCCAUCAACCCAAGGACGCUGGGCAGAACAGGCAAUUAUGUAUUCCCAUCUUAUUUUUUUAUUUUUAUUUUUUUGGCUAUGUCGUGUGGCAUGCGGGAUCUUAAUUCCCCACCCAGGGAUCGGGCCCGUACCCCCAGCAGCAGAAGCGUGGAGUCUUAACCACUGGACCACCAGGGAAGUCCCUAUUUAUUCCCAUCUUAAUCAGACUUGUGAUAGCCGCAGGAGACACCAGCUUUGGCACCAGUACAGCAGCCUUUGUCAAACAAGAUCAGAUCAUGUCUGCCAACCAGCGCCUUUCAGUGGCCCUUUCAGAUCACGUACAAAGGCUGCAGGAAACCUUGGCCCUUAUUCAACAAACCUACAAGUCUCUGAGCCCAAAUGGUCAUGGAUAACAGACUGGCUCGUGAUUGUUUACUAGCCAGGAAAGGUGGCUCAGGACAGCUACAGGCCAAGCUACGAGGAUUAGUACAAGUGGUAAAAAUCUUUCGUAACAUAACCAAAAGCUUCCAAAAGACUCCCUUAAACCCAGAGGUGCCUGAUCUGUUCUCUUGCCUUUCCCCUACUACCUGCCGUGCUAGCUGCGGCCUGGGUUUCAAACCCUCAUUAUAUACCUGGUAGGACCUUUCUUAGUUGUCACCUUUGUCAAAGGUUGCCUUUGGUGGCAAGAACAAACUAUUCCUGUCACCUCUAACAUCGCCACAACCCAGGUGGCAAGCGUCACCCAUCCCAAUGAGAGUUGAUAAUGAUGAUGAGACACCACAGGGUCAACUGUAUUGCAACCUUUGAAGCUCCCUGUUUUCCUGCUCCCUCGGCAUCCCCACAAAGAGGUUGUGAGCACCCCGCCAGUGGCACCAGUGUGAGGAGGCUGGUCCCUGCCACAAGUUGCCCUUCUGGUCCUCCCCUGAAUGUGACCUAGUACGUUUAAAUGCACCAAUAAAAUCCCCUUGUGUUGGGACUUCCCUGGUGGUGUAGUGGUUAAGAAUCCCCCUGCCAAUGCAGGGGACACAGGUUCGAGCCCUGGUCUGGGAAGAUCCCACAUGCCACGGAGCAGCUAAGCCCGUGCACCACAGCUACUGGGCCUGCGCUCUAGAGCCUGCGAGCCACAACUACCGAGCCCAUAUGCCACAACUACUGAAGCCCGUGUGCCUAGAGCCCGCACUCUGCAACGAGAAGUCACCGCAAUGAGAAACCCACGCACCGCAACAAAGAGCAGCCCCCACUCGCCGCAACUAGAGAAAGCCCGUGCGCAGCAAUGAAGACCCAACGCAGCAAUCAAUCAAUCAAUCAAUCCCCUCGUGCCUUUUCUUGCAUUCUCCCCCCAACCACCAACAGAGACACUUGCCAACAGGUCCUCACCCUCUGCUUCCCCCCUGCUCCAUUGAGCCUGCUCCCUCGCGCUCCUCCCACGUGACCCCCCUCUCGGCGUGCAGUGACUGUCUCUCUGGACCUGUGAGCAUAAUAAACUUUGGUUUUUUCCUUAGGCUGUCCUGUGUUUCCUCUUGUGGCUGCACCUGCCUGGCCAUGUCAUAAAAGAGCACAAAACGGGUCUACUGUUGGCGAGCACUGCAGAGGGAGCAGUGGAGGACAGGUGGGGGACAGCCCUGGGUCAGAAACCAGAGCAGCCCUGAGAAGCGGGCAGAGCUGAGGAAGAAAAGAAGAAAAUCAGCCUUGGCCCCUUGUUUGACACCAAAACAUCAGGGCACCAUGGAGAGACUCCUGGUAUGAUUUGAACCCAUCCCUGAGUUCCCUCUUCCCCACUUCCUCCCUCCAAGCACCUCUUGGCGUGGCUGUGAUCACGACUCCACAGGCAGGCACAAAGGGCUCUCCCCACUGCUCCAACUGAGUAACUUCAUGGGUCCUGGAACAUGUAAGUCCUAAGGGAGGGACAAGGCAGGCAGGUCAAAGCAACCCGCUCCACGGCAGCCCACAGGGACGAAGACUGUAUAUUACAAACAGGAAGCUUGGAGAAGGAUCUUGCAGGAACAACCCAGUCAAGCAGUGGCCGUGUUGGUACCUGGCACAGGCAGAUCCCAUGUCAGCCAAAGGAAGAGGGCAGAACUGGGGGCACAGGACUGCCAUGGAUCUCCACAGCAUCACCAGGCCAGGGAGAGGCCAGUAGCAUGUGAUCCAUCAGUCGGACUACAACACUCCCGAUCCCCAAACCCUUUCCUGCACAACUUUGGGGCAGCAGCAGCUUGGGGACAGAAGGGGUAGUGUACCCAGCCCAGGCUUUCACUCACAACACCUACUACAGGACACAGGGAAGGACGCAGUACCCAUGGACCAGCUUUGGGAAGGACAGACCUGCCCUUGGAGAAGGGGAAGAGCAGAGCUCCGCCUAAGCUGUGGGGUGCAAGGAACUUACCCAGAGAGGCCAUCAGUGAGAAGUUCUCCAGCAUCACACUGCGGUACAGGAGUCUCUGGGCUUCAUCAAGGAGCCCCCACUCCUCCUGUGAGAAGUAGACAGCCACAUCCUCAAAUGUCACUUGGCCCUGCCAAGAUGGGGAUGGUUCAGUUUAUGUGCAGCCUCCUUUCCCAGGACUCUAAGCAUCUCCCCAAAUAUCCACCCUCCUCACAAGCUCCCCACCUCAGAGGAGAUCCCAGGCCCUGGUGCCAUUGAUGCCCACCCUCUGCUGGCCGUCCCAUCGAUCACUGUGUUCAGCCCUCAUCAACAACAGGCAGGGGGGCACGUGUCAUCUGAGCCCUGGUGCUGGCCUGCAGAGCCUCACCCUUCUGCCAGACAGCUUACCUGGGAUCCUCUAGAUUGUGCUUCCCAAACACAACCAAAACUGAGUCACCGUUCUCCCCUCAGGCCCCAGUCCAAGGGCCUGGGGCCAUCAGUUGACACUCCCUCCCAACAUGUACA